CAGGACGAACGCUGGCGGCAUGCUUCAUACAUGCAAGUCGAACGAUAAGGUCUCUUCGGAGAUACAUAAGUGGCGGACGGGUGAGUAAUAUGUAGGAAAUCUGCCCUUGAGAGGGGGGCAACGGUUGGAAACGACCGCUAAUACCCCAUAUGAGCGUACCUGAAAUGGUACUCUUGAAAACUCCGGUGCUCAAGGAUGAGCCUGCAUCUGAUUAGCUUGUUGGCGGUGUAAUGGACCACCAAGGCGACGAUCAGUAGCUGGUUUGAGAGGAUGAUCAGCCACAAUGGGACUGAGACACGGCCCAUACUCCUACGGGAGGCAGCAGUAGGGAAUUUUGCGCAAUGGGCGAAAGCCUGAACCGCAGCAAUGCCGCGUGAACGUAGAAGCCCUUCGGGGUGUAAAGUUCUGUCAGUAGGGACGAAUUUUGACGGUACCUACAGAGGAAGCACCGGCUAACUCCGUGCCAGCCGCAGC
rnacentral:rRNA from 1 species